ACGGAAGGCAGCAGUGGGGAAUAUUGGACAAUGGGGGAAACCCUGAUCCAGCGACGCCGCGUGAGUGAAGAAGUAUUUCGGUAUGUAAAGCUCUAUCAGCAGGGAAGAAAAUGACGGUACCUGACUAAGAAGCUCCGGCUAAAUACGUGCCAGCAGCCGCGGUAAUACGUAUGGAGCAAGCGUUAUCCGGAUUUACUGGGUGUAAAGGGAGCGUAGACGGUUUGCCAAGUCUGAUGUGAAAGGUGGGGGCUCAACCCCCAAACUGCAUUGGAAACUGGUAGACUAGAGUGUCGGAGAGGUAAGUGGAAUUCCUAGUGUAGCGGUGAAAUGCGUAGAUAUUAGGAGGAACACCAGUGGCGAAGGCGGCUUACUGGACGAUAACUGACGUUGAGGCUCGAAAGCGUGGGGAGCAAACAGGAUUAGAUACCCUGGUA
rnacentral:rRNA from 1 species